rnacentral:rRNA from 1 species
AUUGAACGCUGGCGGCAGGCCUAACACAUGCAAGUCGAACGAGUGGCGGACGGGUGAGUAAUGUCUGGGACCCUGCCCGAUGGAGGGUGAUAACUACUGGAAACGGUAGCUAAUACCGCAUACCCUCGGAUGUGCCCAGGUGGGAUUAGCUCGUCGGUGGGGUAAAGGCUCCCCUAGGCGACGAUCCCUAGCUGGUCUGAGAGGAUGACAAGCAACACUGGAACGGAGACACGGUCCAGACUCCUACGGGGGGCAGCAGUGGGGAAUAGUGCACAAUGGGCGCAAGCCUGAUGCAGCCAUGCCGCGUGUAUGAAGAAGUCCUUCGGGUUGUAAAGUACUUUCAGCGAGGAGGCGUUACUCGCAGAAGAAGCACCGGCUAACUCCGUGCCAGCAGCCGCGGUAAUAC